AAACUUCGAGUGCAACUUUUUCCCUUGGAAUGUGGAAAGAGGCUCAACCUCGUAGUUAAUGUUUAGUUUCUGAGCUGAGUAAAUGGACCCACGCUGCUGGCGACAGAAGGGAGGAUGCCAGUAGAAUGGGUGUGAGGAUUUAUUUAGCAAUCGGGUCCUGCUUUGUGGGCGUCUCUUAUAAGGCUUUCAUAUGAAAUUUAGAUUAUAAUUCCCUGCUCGGCUUUGAUGCUCUCUGUCCUGAUUAAAAUCACAUCAACCUUUCAGUCGCAUAAGAAGACCACAGCCUGGGUGCCCAUUUACAAAUUCUCCGAUUUUUGUGGAUGCAGAAUUUAAGAAGAUUUUGCUGCCUUUAAGGCGAAGAGAGGAGGGGAGCGCACCUCCGGCUGCGCUGCCGCCCGAGCCCUGCCCGUCGCGGCGAGCGGGCACCGCAGGGCCGAAGAGGAGAUGCCAGGGGAAGCCGGGCGCUCCCCACCUUUCACUCAUAGCCGCAGAGAGAGCGAGGGAGAGAAAAUUGCCACAGACCAGGCAGCAAAAUGCUGGGUUUAGAAAACUGCGAUCCAGUUUCGUGCAUACUACUAUAAUUAAUUUGCGUGCGGAGAUCAAAGAUCCGAGGGCGAAGGAAAUAAUCGAUUCUGCCAGAAAACGCUUCCCUGGCGCAGCCCACGGUCAGCCGCCACCCACGGCAGGUCCAGUGCUGCUCUGUUCCCCCACCACCCUGCACGGUGGCCUCGCAGCGUGCCCAUCCUCCUCCCUUCCACCCUGAACACACCCGGUGGCCGAACACCUUCCCGAGGCAGUGGUGCUGCUCGAGUGCCUCCAUCUUCAAUACAAAUGGAGCAGACUACAUGGGUCCAGGCCAAAACUCCGCUCGCUGUAUUUAUUUUGUGCAGUUCGAUGCAGGCCCUCUCAUUUCAGCUGUUUGAAACGAUGUGUCACUAGGAAGAGGUCACAGGUGACUGGCAAGUUCAACCUACUUAGCUCAAUUAUCCAAGUUUCAUUUUCAAAUUGUGUUCCAUUUGGUCUUCCUGCUUCCCUCCAAAUUAUCUCAGAGAAAAAAAGAAAAAAUCAAAUGAAAGCAGACAAUUUAAGCCAAAUCCUGUAUACUGUUAUUUAUAUGCAAAACCAUUUUUGUGAUAUAUACUUCCCUUAAUGACCAUGGAAUGCCAGAUCUUUCCAAGCAAAUUUACAAAACUAGCCAUCAAAUUAUUUCAAAGGCAGGCCUAUUAGGGGAAAAAAUAAUUACAAACUUUCAGAAGCUUUGUAAAAACAUAAGUUUCUGAAUGUUGUCUCUUUAAAUUUUUCUUAAGUUUGUUUUUAGUUUAAGCCUGGGGGCACAGUAGAGAGAUAUGCAUAAGGAGUUUGGAAAAUAAUGUGCUGUAAUCCAGUGCCGAGUUACUUCUCCAUAAAAUAUGGAUAAGGAAUCAAUUCAUAAGCACAAAUAUCCACUAGGAUAUAGUUUUAACAAACAUUUCGCAUGAGCAUUCUUAUAUGCAUUAUUAAGUAGAUAACAAAAGUACUUCAAAUCAAACCCUAUACAGUCACAUCUGGAAAUAGUCUUUUCUGUCUAAUUUUCAUUUUUUUCUCUCAAAAAAAAGUUAGAAGAAAAACUAGUCUGUCCCCUUGUAUAUUAAUUGUUACCAUCAGCUUUUAAUCAGCAACAUGUAUAGUUAGAUUUACAGAGUCCAUUCCAUGUUGCCCCUUUAGAGAACAGUAAAAUGAAGAUAGUAUCUUUAUUCAUUUAUAGAAUCUGAUGUUAAAACCAGACCCACACACAAACAGCAUAUACAUUGCUCUAUGCAUAUAGACAGGCGUGUAGAUACAUAGACACAACACACUUAUACAUGGAAACGAGUCGUGACCAUGUGUUGGAAAACAUAAUAAAAAGUAUCUGUGCAUUUCA
ensembl:lncRNA